rnacentral:rRNA from 1 species
AGUGAACGCUGGCGGUAGGCCUAACACAUGCAAGUCGAACGGCAGCACAGUAAGAGCUUGCUCUUACGGGUGGCGAGUGGCGGACGGGUGAGGAAUACAUCGGAAUCUACUUUUUCGUGGGGGAUAACGUAGGGAAACUUACGCUAAUACCGCAUACGACCUACGGGUGAAAGCAGGGGAUCUUCGGACCUUGCGCGAUUGAAUGAGCCGAUGUCGGAUUAGCUAGUUUGCGGGGUAAAGGCCCACCAAGGCGACGAUCCGCAGCUGGUCUGAGAGGAUGAUCAGCCACACUAGAACUGAGACACGGUCCAGACUCCUACGGGAGGCAGCAGUGGGGAAUAUUGGACAAUGGGCGAAAGCCUGAUCCAGCCAUACCGCGUGGGUGAAGAAGGCUUUCGGGUUGUAAAGCCCUUUUGUUGGGAAAGAAAAGCAGCUGGUGAAUACCCCGCUGUUCUGACGGUACCCAAAGAAUAAGCACCGGCUAACUACGUG